rnacentral:tRNA from 1 species
GGGGAUAUGGCGGAAUUGGCAGACGCGCACGGUUCAGGGCCGUGUGUUCGCAAGAACUUGAGGGUUCGACUCCCUCUAUCCCCACUA